AUUGAACGCUGGCGGCAUGCUUUACACAUGCAAGUCGAACGGCAGCACAGGGAGCUUGCUCCCGGGUGGCGAGUGGCGCACGGGUGAGUAAUACGAUCGGAACGUGUCCUGGUUGUGGGGGAUAACUGCUCGAAAGGGUGGCUAAUACCGCAUGAGACCUGAGGGUGAAAGCGGGGGAUCGCAAGACCUCGCGCAAUUGGAGCGGCCGAUGCCCGAUUAGCUAGUUGGUGAGGUAAAGGCUCACCAAGGCGACGAUCGGUAGCUGGUCUGAGAGGACGACCAGCCACACUGGGACUGAGACACGGCCCAGACUCCUACGGGAGGCAGCAGUGGGGAAUUUUGGACAAUGGGGGCAACCCUGAUCCAGCCAUGCCGCGUGCAGGAUGAAGGCCUUCGGGUUGUAAACUGCUUUUGUCAGGGACGAAAAGGAUCGUGAUAAUACCAUGGUCUGCUGACGGUACCUGAAGAAUAAGCACCGGCUAACUACGUG
rnacentral:rRNA from 1 species